AAAGUCGUAACAAGGUUUCCGUAGGUGAACCUGCGGAAGGAUCAUUAACACGUAUCCACGUAUCAAAACCCCUCUGUGCAACCCUCUUACGUUAGGCUUGAUUGGAGUUGUAUUCACUCGAUCUUAAUGAUGGGAGUCCCUCUCCUUUGGGGAGGGGCUCGGGAUCUAUGAGUGUUUACCGCGUUUGACAAUCGGGCCGCUAUUUUUCCAUCGUUAGCCCUUUACUCAUUUUAACCCCUUGUACUCUUUUGUACUGAACCAAUUCUUCGAGUUUCGGCUUCGGCUGAGAUACGAAAGAUAUUACGAAACUAAAGAACAACUCUUAGCAACGGAUAUCUUGGUUCCC
rnacentral:misc_RNA from 1 species